AGGAACAAAAAGAGGUUUAAUUGGACUUCUAGUUAAAGUCCAAUUUAACUGGAAGAUGGUAGCCCUCUUCUCAGAGGGGACACAGCCAAACCAUAUCAUUGUGAUAUCACUGUGAUAUCCAAUAAUGCCUUCAGACAUUGCCAAAUGUUCCCUCAGGGCUAAAUCCUAUUCUCCCUAUUGAGAAUCACUGGUCCACUGGUUUACUGACAUGAUUAUCUGUUUCCAAAUCCAGCUAUGGCUUACAUGAACUUCAGUAUGAUUGUGGACACAGAUGGAGACACAAAUCAGGGAGAAAGGUAUAUAUGUAGAAAGUUUAGCUUAGACAUUGUCCAUGGCUUUUGAAUGGCUCCAGCAGCAUCUGUAAGAACCUAUUAAGGCAUUAAAUAACAGGACAAUACCAGAGACACUGAGGCACUUAAAUGCCAGCAUGAACACAUUGCUUGCUGCAAUAGAUUCUUCUCUGGAACUGUGCAAAGCAGAGGUUGGUGGCCUUGGAGGCAGCUACGGAUUUGUGAGAUGAAGUGGAACAACGGUACCCAGGGCAAAAAAAGAGCCCUGAAGCACGAUCUGAGGAGUUGAGGUUGAGAUGUGGCAAGCUGGAAGGCAACAGCAGUUGGCCUAUUAAAAGGGCAGCAAUUACUGAGUAGGAGGCUUUUCUUGAAUGGAGCACUUAUCACUUAUAUUAGAAUAACCAGUGUAGAGAAGUCCUUAAAUGACCUGAAGGAGCUGAAAACCAUGGCACGAGAACUACCUGACACAUGCAUAAGCUUCAGGAGCCAAUUUGAUCAACUGGAAGAAAGGGUAUCAGUGAUUGAAGAUCAAAUGAAUGAAAUGAAGCGAGAAGAGAAGUUUAGAGAAAAAAGAGUAAAAAGAAACAAACAAAGCCUCCAAGAAAUAUGGAGCUAUGUGAAAAGACCAAAUCUACGUCUGAUUGGUGUACCUGAAAGUGAUGGGGAGAAUGGAACCAAGUUGGAAAACACUCUGCAGGAUAUUAUCUAGGAGAACUUCCCCAAUCUAGGAAGACAGGCCAACAUUCAAAUUCAAGAAAUACAGAGAAUGCCACAAAGAUACUCCUCGAGAAGGGCAACCACAAGACACAUAAUUGUCAGAUUCACCAAAGUUGAAAUGAAGGAAAAAAUGUUAAGGGCAGCCAGAGAGAAAGGUUGGGUUACCCACAAAGGGACGCCCAUCAGACUAACAGUGGAUCUCUCAGCAGAAACUCUACAAGCCAGAAGAGAGUGGGGGCCAAUAUUCAACAU
rnacentral:lncRNA from 1 species